rnacentral:sRNA from 1 species
UCGGCCGAUGCUGUCUAUUAUAAUUGGU